UACAGAGGUCUCAAGCGUUGUUCGGAUUCAUUGGGCGUAAAGGGUGCGUAGGCGGCGCGGUAAGUCGGGUGUGAAAUCUUGGAGCUUAACUCCGAAACUGCAUUCGAUACUGCCGUGCUUGAGGACUGGAGAGGAGACUGGAAUUUACGGUGUAGCGGUGAAAUGCGUAGAUAUCGGGAGGAACACCCGUAGCGAAGGCGGCACUCUGGGCCGUGACUGACGCUGAGGAGCGAAAGCGUGGGGAGCAAACAGG
rnacentral:rRNA from 1 species